rnacentral:rRNA from 1 species
UACGGAGGGUGCAAGCGUUAGUCGGAAUUACGGGGCGUAAAGGGCGCGUAGGCGGAGAUCUAAGUCAGCCGUGAAAUUCCGGGGCUCAACCUCGGAGCUGCGGCUGAAACUAUUUUUCUUGAGGAAUGGCGGAGAAAACGGAAUUCCACAUGUAGCGGUGAAAUGCGUAGAUAUGUGGAGGAACACCUGUGGCGAAAGCGGUUUUCUAGCUUAUUCCUGACGCUGAUGCGCGAAAGCAAGGGGAGCAAACAGG